UAUCGAUCUGACAGGCCACGUAUGCGGU
rnacentral:sRNA from 1 species